rnacentral:rRNA from 1 species
GAUGAACGCUGGCGGCGUGCCUAAUACAUGCAAGUCGAGCGAACAGACGAGGAGCUUGCUCCUCUGACGUUAGCGGCGGACGGGUGAGUAACACGUGGAUAACCUACCUAUAAGACUGGGAUAACUUCGGGAAACCGGAGCUAAUACCGGAUAAUAUAUUGAACCGCAUGGUUCAAUAGUGAAAGACGGUUUUGCUGUCACUUAUAGAUGGAUCCGCGCCGCAUUAGCUAGUUGGUAAGGUAACGGCUUACCAAGGCGACGAUGCGUAGCCGACCUGAGAGGGUGGUCGGCCACACUGGUGCUGAGACACGGUCCAGCCUCCUACGGGAGGCAGCAGUAGGGAAUCUUCCGCCAUGGGCGAAAGCCUGACGGAGCAACGCCGCGUGAGGGAUGAUGGUCUUCGGCGCGUUAAGCUCUGUUAUUGGGGAAGAAGAAAUGUGUAAGUAUCUGUGCACGUCUUGACGGUACCUAAUCAGAAAGCCACGGCUAACUACGUG